UCAUAUGCUUGUCUCAAAGAUUAAGCCAUGCAUGUCAUAAGUCUCAGACUUUCACACAGUGAAACCGCAGAUGGCUCAUUAAAUCAGUUAUGAUUUCUUAGAUCGUACAAUCCUACUUGGAUAACUGUGGUAAUUCUAGAGCUAAUACAUGCCAAUACGCUCCGACCUGGCAAGGGAACGGGUGGUUUUAUUAAACCAAAGACCAUCCGGGCUUCGGCCCGGGUUUGUGUUGAAUCUGAAUAGCUUUGCGCUGAUGCGCACGUCCUGGUGCCGGCGACGUAUCUUUCAAGUGUCUGCCCUAUCAACUUUCGAUGGUAGGCGAGACGCCUACCACGGUUUCAACGGGUAACGGAGAAUCAGGGUUCGGUUCCGGAGAGGGAGCAUGAGAGACGGCUACCACAUCCAAGGAAGGCAGCAGGCGCGCAAAUUACCCACUCCUGGCACGGGGAGGUAGUGACGAAAAAUAACAAUACGGGAUCUCUUCGAGGCCCCGUAAUUGGAAUGAGUACACUUUAAAUCCUUUACCGAGGAUCUAUUGUGCAGUUAAAAAGCUCGUAGUUGGAUCUCGGGUCCAGGCUGGAGGUCCGCCUCAGCGGCGGCUACUUCUUGUCCUGACCUACCAUCCCGGUUUUCCCUUGGUGCUCUUAGUCUGAGUGUCUCGGGUGGCCGGAACGUUUACUUUGAAAAAUAUAUGGAAGUGUUGCAAAGCACGGACGUGCGAAAGCAUUUGCCAAGAAUGUUUUCAUUAAUCAAGAACGAAAGUCAGAGGUUCGAAGACGAUCAGAUACCGUCGUAGUUCUGACCAUAAACGAUGCCAACUAGCGAUCCGCCGGAGUUGUUUCAAUGACUCGGCGGGCAGCUUCCGGGAAACCAAAGUUUGUGGGUUCCGGGGGAAGUAUGGUUGCAAAGCUGAAACUUAAAGGAAUUGACGGAAGGGCACCACCAGGAGUGGAGCCUGCGGCUUAAUUUGACUCAACACGGGGCAACUUACCCGGUCCGGACAUCGUCAGGAAUGACAGACGCUCGUGCAGUUCUUUCUCGAUUCGAUGGGUGGUGGUGCAUGGCCGUUCGUGGCUGGUGAAGUGAAAAGUCUGGUUUAUUCCGCUAACGGGCGAGGCCUCGCCCUUAACUAGUCGGCUCGUGGUUCUCGAAUCGUAGUCUCCCUUCGGGGAGCAGGGAGAACAUCGGGCGAGUCGCAGCGAUUGUCGCUACUUCUUAGGGGGAUCCCGAGCAAGCUUAAGCUAGGUGAGAGAGAUCAAUAACAGGUCAGUGAUGCCCUUAGAUGUCCGGGGCCGCACGCGCGCUACACUGAAGACGAAAGCGCGAGUGCCUACGGUCUUGGUUUGGUCAGGCCGGGAACCCGCCCCGAGAGGGGAGGUUGGGGCUGUUCCUUCACGGGGGCAGUCUCGCCUACUGCGGGUUAACCGUGCCAAUCGUCUUCGUGCUGGGGAUCGGGGCUUGCAACUCAGCCCCGUGAACGAGGAAUUCCGAGUAGGCGUCCGUCAUCAGCUGGCGCCGAUUAAGUCCCUGCCUUUUGUACACACCGCCCGUCGCUACCUCCGAUAGAAUGGCUAAGCGAGGCCGUUAGACUGGGCCUGCUUUCGAGUGGGCCCGGAAAGGCGUUCGAGCUUAAUCAUUUAGAGGAAGUA
rnacentral:rRNA from 1 species